CUGACAGUGAACUGAACAUCCGGGUGAAAUGUUUGUUUGUGUGGCGCCACGUGUUUGUCAUUUUUCCUCCUCAAACCUUCCUGCAAAGUCUCAGCAUUGUGGAUUCGCCGUCCGACUCUUGGCGUUUAUUUUGUGCCAAACAGUUUCUCUGAAUGCGCCAAACACUAGAAUCAACGUGCAGGUUGCGUGAUUGAAACAACGGAUUUAGAAGCUGACCGCACUUUUUAGAUGAGCGAGAUGAUUAUCAGACCACAAAUAUUUGAAGAAGGACUGGUUUCUGAACUGCAUUUAUCGGGAAUCUGUUUGUUUUGAGGCCACCUGAACCAAACGCUCUCCGGAUUGGCGGAGAGAUUUAAUCCCAGCCCAGCUCCACAAACAAUCUUGGAGAGGAUGCCAGACAUUUUCCACGAUAGACAUCAGUUUGUGCAGCAUCUUCCUCUCCAAACUGUUGACAGCUCCAAAGUCUCUGUGGUGGUUUGGCUAAAUGGACUUUUAAUGAUCCCAUUACACUACGUGGGCUUUUCCUUGAAAUAUGCAACUAUGACAAGUCCUUGUCCAAACGAUGCACAGCUGGCAACCUCACUCACUGAAAGUCUAG